CAGGUUUAUGACUGAUCCUAUUUGGGAAGAACAAUGAUGGCAUGCAUUCGAGCUUUAUUUAUGUGCUUGUGGUUGCAGCUGGACUGGGUGAGCAGAGGAGAGAGUGUGAGGCCGCAUCUUUCUACCCUGGGUGUCCAGGAGGGAGACAACUCUGUUAUCAACUGUGCUUAUUCAGACAGUGCCUCGGACUACUUCAUUUGGUACAAGCAAGAAUCUGGAAAAGGUCCUCAAUUCAUUAUAGACAUUCGUUCAAAUAUGGACAAAAGGCAAGGCCAAAGAGUCACCGUUUUAUUGAAUAAGACAGUGAAACAUCUCUCUCUGCAAAUUGCAGCUACUCAACCUGGAGACUCAGCUGUCUACUUUUGUGCAGAGAAUACACAUUGCUUUCCAGGCAUCUGUAACCAUCACCCAAACCUGAGAUGCGAGGUGAAGCAGCAUCCCCUUUCCUUUGGAAUGAAUUUUAAUUAUAGCACCUGUCAUUUUGUUUGUUCAUAA